rnacentral:rRNA from 1 species
CCUACGGGAGGCAGCAGUGGGGGAUAUUGCACAAUGGGGGAAACCCUGAUGCAGCGACGCCGCGUGUGGGAAGACGGUCCUCUGGAUUGUAAACCACUGUCGUCAGGGACGAAGAUGACGUUACCUGGGGAGGAAGCUCCGGCUAACUACGUGCCAGCAGCCGCGGUACUACGUAGGGAGCGAGCGUUGUCCGGAAUUACUGGGUGUAAAGGGAGCGUAGGCGGGACUGCAAGUUGGGUGUCAAAUCUACCGGCUCAACCGGUAGCCGCACUCCAAACUGCAGGUCUUGAGUGUAGUAGAGGCAGGCGGAAUUCGUGGUGUAGCGGUGAAAUGCGUAGAUAUUAGGAGGAACACCAGUGGCGAAGGCGGCCUGCUGGGCUUUUACUGACGCUGAGGCUCGAAAGUGUGGGGAGCAAACAGGAUUAGAUACCCCGGUAGUC